UUUUUUUCUUUAUGAAGAUGUUGUAUAUUGACAUUCCUGUUUAAUAAUUUUUAUGUCUGUUGUACUGUCCAAUGAUCCCAAUUUCGAAUUUUAAAGAAGGCAUUAGGAUGUCAUAGGUAAUUUCAUUUUUAGUCAAAACUAGUAUCCCAAAUUUACCCGAAACUAACGAUCUUAAAAAAUGGAAUUUCAUGCUUCUGAUCUUUUUUUUUUUAAUAUUGUUUUGAAAACAAAAUUAUAAAUAUGCAAUAUGGAAAUAAAUUUGAAAGUUUGUCGCAUUGCUAUUGCAUCCUUCAUUUUCCCCAAGUUACAUAAUUCUUUUUGUGUCAUAAUGUUUGCUUCAGUGGUAGUCUAAAAGACCAGAAACAAGUAUAAACAAUAAUCUGUAACAAAUCAACAACAGUGUUGCGAAUGCAUUAAUUUUCAAUUUAAAUAUGUUAAAAGGGUAAAUAAGCUAUAUAGUACUGAUAAUAAUAAUCUAAGUCUGUGGGAUUUACUAUUGCAUCCUUCACUAUUCCUCAGUUAUACUAUUCAUUGGUGUCAUAAUGUUUGCUUUAGUAGUAGUCUAAAUGCCCUGCAAAAGUAUAACAAUAAACUAUAAAAAAUCAACGAAAUUAUUGUAGAUCAGUUAAGGGGAAUAUAUUGAGAGGGUAUAUAAUCUAAAGAGCAAAAUUAUAAAAUUUUGUUCCCUUAAUUAUACAUUUUAUUUUGUUUCGCAAGGUUUGCUUAAAUACAGUCAAACUGUCCUGGACCAUUUGCCCUUAGUUAAACAAUUCAGUUGGUUUCAUAAGGUUUACACCAUUAGUAGUCCAAGAGUUCUUGAAGAAGUAUAAACUAUAAAGAUUAAGUAAAUUAUUCCAGAUAAAUUAAGGGAAAUGUAAUGAAAUAGUAAAUAAACUAAAACAAUAGUCAAAAUUAUAAGAUUUCAAUUACAUCCUUCAGUACCCCUCAAUUAUACCAUUCAUUUUAUGUCAUAAUGUUUGCUUCGGUAGUAGUAAAAAGGUCCUUGACCAAGUAUUUACAAUACACAAAUUAAGGAAAUUAUUGCAGAUCAAUUCAGGAAAAUAUAUUGAAAGGGUAAAUCAACUAAAUAUUAUUUAAAGAUUAAUGGAUAUCUAUUGCAUCCCGCACUUUCCCUUAGUUACUCCAUUCAUUUUGUGUCAGACAGUUUGCUUUUAGAACAAACAUAAACAAUAAACUGACAAAAGGCAAGAACAUUUUUGUAGUUAAAUCAAGUCAAGGAAAAUAUAGUGGAAGGUAUCACAUGACGUUGGUCUAGCGAUUGGGCAGAGGGUAUUGCGUGGACAUGUUCUGGCACAGUCUGAGACAGAUGAUGUUAUAUACAUGAGGUCGACUUCCAGUUCAACUGUCCUUCAAAAUGCUGCAGCGUUUCUACGUCUACACAUACCAGUGGAUAAGGUAGUUGCUUCAGGAAACACAACAGGACGGAAUGAAGAAUAUGACGUGUUCUAUAAUGGAGUUGUCAUGCAGCUGGAACAUUCCAAACAAUUCAAAAGACUAGGACAAUGAACUGUAGUGUUAAUCCCUUGGUAUACAAACAACAUGGAAAUAAACAAAUUGCAUUAUACCUUU